rfam:Pteropus alecto contig31306, whole genome shotgun sequence.
GGCUCCAUAGAGUAGUGGUUAGCACGUCUGCUUUACACGCAGAAGGUCCUGGAUUUGCGCUCCAGGUGGAGCCG